rnacentral:lncRNA from 1 species
AAAGAUUGCGAUUAGACCCUUCGGAGCACUUGCAAUGGGAAAGUAGAUAAACAUCGAUCUUCCAUUUAAUUCAAUCCUGAAAAGAAAUUAUGGCUUUUGACUUGGUUUUAAAUUCAUUGAAUCUUUCUCUAAAAUAUUUUUCCAGAUGGAUCUGUAUUCAGCUAUGUUUUUCUAUCUUGGCUAUUUCUUAUAUCAAUAGGUGACCUUUUCCUUUUCUUGGCAUUCUCUCCUUAAAUUUGCAUAAAAUGUUUCCUUCGUUAAAUGAGGCUCUUUGCGCUCAGUAUUGUCCUGUUCAGCGAGGUUCUAUAUGGUAUAUUUACAUGCACAGUGGUGAGUUGGAACACAGUGUUGGCCAACACCUCAUGAGAUUUUUGUUUCUGACGGAAAUUAGAUUUUUUUGUUGUUGUUUCUUUUAAUUCAGUCACCAGGAUGCUGAUUUUGAUUAAGGAACUUUCAUUUUGGGGAAACAAACCUUCCAAACUUGGAGGAAACUGGAGAAGUAUCAAGUGGAAAACCAGAAGCAGAAGAAAGGUAAGAAUGCUUAAGGGAAACUGCAAGGAAGAAAGAAAAGUUUAAAAGAAAAAGAGGAAAUUUUUACAUUUUAUUUCCAGAAUCCACGCCAUGUUUUUAAAGAUGCAUCUAAGAAGAAAACAGACAACAACACUGCCUCCAGAGACUCUUUCCUCGUGAUCACAACUCGGACACGACAAUCAGCACAGAAAUUACAUGCGGCCUCCCGGACUUUAUGCUCCGUUAGGAUCAAGCACAGUACCCUCAGUAUCAGAUACUCCAUGUGUGUGCUUCCGAAGAAUGACUGGGAGAGAACAUACAGUGUACAAACUGACAUCAUCUACUCAUAAAAGCGGAAUGCUUUGCUUUUUUAAGCUUCAAGCUGAAUAACAAAUUGCCACAGAUGACAGCAUAAAAGAAUAACAGAAUGGAAUCAAAAGAAAAUUCAUUGUCAACAGA